CCCGUGACAGCCAGGCUGCUGAGCCCCCCAACCUUACCCCAUGGGCACUCAGCUUCAUCACCUUCAUCAUCAUCACCUUCAUCAUCAUCCUCACUGUCACCUUCAUCAUCAUCACCUUCAUCAUUGUCACCUUCAUCAUCAUCCUCACUGUCACCUUCAUCAUUGUCACCAUCAUCAUCCUCACUGUCACCUUCAUCAUUGUCAUCAUUGUCACCUUCAUCAUUAUCAUCUUCAUCAUCAUCACCUUCAUCAUCAUCCUCACUGUCACCUUCAUCAUUGUCACCUUCAUCAUCAUCCUCACUGUCACCUUCAUCAUCAUCACCUUCAUCAUCAUCAUCAUCAUCAUCAUCAUCAUCAUCAUCAUCAUCAUCAUCCUCACUGUCACCAUCAUUGUCACCUUCAUCAUCCUCACUGUCACCUUCAUCAUUGUCACCUUCAUCAUCGUCAUCAUUGUCACCUUCAACACUGUCACCUUCAGUGUCACUUUCAUUGUCCCCUUCCCUGUCCCCUCUGUCACUGUCCUGCUCCUCCCUGCCAAUGACAACACGAUCAAACAGUGCCUGAUGUCCCUGAGAGCAGCCCCAGCUCCACCUGCUCCACCUGGAGACACCCAGGGCACACCUGGAGACACCCAGAGCACACCUGGAGCCAUUCAGGGCACACCUGGAGACACCCAGGGCACACCUGGAGACACCCAGGGCAGCGCUCUAGACCUGUGGGAUCACGCCUGUCCCCGUGGGGUCACGCCUGUCCCUGUGGGGUCACGCCUGUCCCCUGCCAAUGUCAUACAUGUCCCCAGUGGGAUCACACAAGUGUCCUGCCAGUGUCAUACGUGUGUCCUACAAGUGUCACACGUGUCCUGCAGGUGUCACACGUGUCCUACAGGUGUCACACGUGUCCUGCAGGUGUCACACGUGUGUCCUGCCAGUGUCACACGUGUGUCCUGCAGGUGUCACACGUCUGUCCUACAAGUGUCACACGUGUCCUGCAGGUGUCACACGUGUCCUGCAGGUGUCAAACGUGUUCCAGGGGGAUCACAC
rnacentral:lncRNA from 1 species